AUGGCAUUUGUAAGGCUGAGAGAGCAACAGGUAAGCCCUCGCAUUCAUGACUGACCAAAAAAGAGUUCCCACUGGGAUUAACAAUUUCAUUAUGAAAUUUAGAGUCAUCAAGAACUUGCAGCUAGCUAGCCAUUUCUUCUUUGAUUGUUGUGUUCAAAAUUUGGAACAGAACCCGUGUUAAUAUUGUACUAUGUACCAGCUAUAAAUCAGUCAUUAUUGCAAGCUCUAAAGUCUUAAUCUAUAGCUAGGGCUUCAUAAAUCCCCAGCCCCAGGAGUCUCUUUCGUUCGAGAAAAACUUUUAUGUAAUAGGAAUGAUAUUUUUUGCUAUUCCUACCAAUAACGUAAUAACGUAAUAAUAUUUUCACGUGUUAUUGUGUUAUUUGUUAAGAAUAGCAAAAUAGUGCUAUUCAUAUAAUGAGAAUGAUACCUUUUGAUAUCCUUACAAAUAAUACAAUGACAUAUAAAAUAAUAUUUUCACAUAUCAUCAUAUUAUUAGUUAAAAAUAACAAAGUAGUGUUAUUUUCAUUGUAAAUAAGUUUUUAUGCUUUCUGUGUCUCACUUCAAUUUUCAAAGCCUCUCUCUCUUUCUCACUAUGGUCAGAGAAAAUCAGGGUUUUGCGAAGGUGUGUAGAGGUGCCCAUAUACGAAUCUUGGGUGGCCCCAAUGGUAUAUACAUCGAUCUGGAAGCUGGAAAAAAGUACUUGGUUUUUUUUCGCUUUGGGGGCAGAGAGUACGAUUGGUGGGCAGCGUGGAAACUGAAAGAUAUUGAAGCGAGAGAGAGAGAGAGAGAGAGAGGAAGUGGAUCAGAAAAAAAGAUCAGAUCUCGUGAUUAG
rnacentral:lncRNA from 1 species